rnacentral:rRNA from 1 species
UACGAAGGGGGCGUAGCGUUGUUCGGAUUUACUGGGCGUAAAGCGCACGUAGGCGGAUUGUUAAGUUAGGGGUGAAAUCCCAGGGCUCAACCCUGGAACUGCCUUUAAUACUGGCAAUCUCGAGUCCGGAAGAGGUGAGUGGAAUUCCGAGUGUAGAGGUGAAAUUCGUAGAUAUUCGGAGGAACACCAGUGGCGAAGGCGGCUCACUGGUCCGGUACUGACGCUGAGGUGCG